GAUUAAGCGCAUAAGGGCACACAAUGAAUGCCUUGGCAUCAGCAGACGAUGAAGGACGUGGUAAGGCUGCGAUAAGCCUCGGGGAGCGGCAAGCACGCAUUGAUCCGGGGAUUU
rnacentral:rRNA from 1 species